AUUGAACGCUGGCGGCAGGCCUAACACAUGCAAGUCGAACGAGCGGCGGACGGGUGAGUAAUGUAUGGGGAACUGCCUGAUGGAGGGGGAUAACUACUGGAAACGGUAGCUAAUACCGCAUACCAUCGGAUGUACCCAUAUGGCAUUAGCUAGUAGGUGGGGUAAAGGCUCACCUAGGCGACGAUCCCUCGCUGGUCUGAGAGGAUGACCGGCCAAACUGGAACGGAGACACGGUCCAGACUCCUACGGGAGGCAGCAGUGGGGAAUAUUGCACAAUGGGCGCAAUCCUGAUGCAGCCAUGCCGCGUGUAUUAAGAAGGCCUUCGGGUUGUAAAGUACUUUCAGCGGGGAGGCGUUACCCGCAGAAGAAGCACCGGCUAACUCCGUGCCAGCCGCCGCGGUAAUUC
rnacentral:rRNA from 1 species